CGUAUUUUAUAUUAGUUUGGGUGGUAAAUACAAGGGUAUCAUCGGUUAUUUACGGUAUUUAAACCUAAUGAAUAUUUUGCAUUAGGAAAAUGAAGCUUCUAGAGGAUAAGAUAAUGUUUGUAUGAAAAGAAAUGAAGACAGCUCGACUGUUCUUUGGGAUCUAGGAGGUGAAAUAAUAAAGUUUGAAGGGUAAAAAGAAAAUUGGAAAAUCAGGUUAGG
rnacentral:lncRNA from 1 species